rnacentral:rRNA from 1 species
UAACCUUUACUUUGCUACGACUUAUCUCUAUAAGAGAGUGACGGACAAUAUGAGCUUAGUUUAAAACUUAUUCAUUUUUUUAUAAUUACUUUUAAAUCCUAAUUUAAUUUAAGAAUUAACUCGAAUUCGAAUUGCAUUUCAAAAAAUCCUUUAAAUAUCUAUAUGUUAUUUGAUUUGAAUUUAAUUAUUAAAUUAUUUUGUAAACAAUCACACAUAAGAUUUUUUAAAGUAAAUAAAAUUGAGGAUAAUCAAAUUAUUUUUCAAAAUUCUCUAAUAAGGAUAAACUACAGCCACUUAUUUUAAGUUUUUAAAACUACUUUACUAUUUACCAAUCUUAUACCAAGGUUCUAGUCUUGUUUUAUUUUAGAUUUUUAAAAAGUUAUUUCAAUUUAUUUUCGUACUUGUUAAUUAAACCUAUAACGUAAAAAAUAAAUUUUAUUUUUAGCAAUAUUAAUAUACACUCUAAAGUCUAACCGCGGCUGCUGGCACUUUUUUCACCGAGUUUUUUACUAAAUCAAAUUUUUUAAAUUUAUAAAUAUUUUCACUAUACUUCUUAAUUCAUUUAACUUAUAUAAAAAUUUUAGUAAAAGAUUAAUUAACUAAUAAUCAAUUAUUUUUUAUUUUUCUCAAUUUAU